UACGAAGGGGGCUAGCGUUGCUCGGAAUCACUGGGCGUAAAGCGCACGUAGGCGGACUCUUAAGUCGGUGGUGAAAUCCUGGAGCUCAACUCCAGAACUGCCUUCGAUACUGAGAGUCUCGAGUCCGGGAGAGGUGAGUGGAACUGCGAGUGUAGAGGUGAAAUUCGUAGAUAUUCGCAAGAACCCCAGUGGCGAAGGCGGCUCACUGGCCCGGUACUGACGCUGAGGUGCGAAAGCGUGGGGAGCAAACAGG
rnacentral:rRNA from 1 species